rnacentral:rRNA from 1 species
GGUUCAGGAUGAACGCUGGCGGCGUGCCUAACACAUGCAAGUCGAACGAAGCACUUAGACAGAACCUUCGGGUGACGUAUUGGUGACUGAGUGGCGGACGGGUGAGUAACGCGUGGGUAACCUGCCCUGUACAGGGGGAUAACAGUUAGAAAUGACUGCUAAUACCGCAUAAGCGCACGAUGGUAGCAUUACCAGGUGUGAAAAAACUCCGGUGGUACAGGAUGGGCCCGCGUCUGAUUAGCUUGUUGCGGGGUAAGAGCCCACCAAGGCGACGAUCAGUAGCCGGUCUGAGAGGAUGAACGGCCACAUUGGAACUGAGACACGGUCCAAACUCCUACGGGAGGCAGCAGUGGGGAAUAUUGCACAAUGGGGGGAACCCUGAUGCAAGCAACGCCGCGUGAGUGAAGAAGUAUUUCGGUAUGUAAAGCUCUAUCAGCAGGGAAGAUAAUGACGGUACCUGACUAAGAAGCUCCGGCUAAAUACGUGCCAGCCGCCGC